rnacentral:rRNA from 1 species
GACGAACGCUGGCGGCGUGCUUAACACAUGCAAGUCGAACGGAAAGGCCCUGCUUUUGUGGGGUGCUCGAGUGGCGAACGGGUGAGUAACACGUGAGUAACCUGCACUUGACUUUGGGAUAACUUCAGGAAACUGGGGCUAAUACCGGAUAGGAGCUCCUGCUGCAUGGUGGGGGUUGGAAAGUUUCGGCGGUUUGGGAUGGACUCGCGGCUUAUCAGCUUGUUGGUGGGGUAGUGGCUUACCAAGGCUUUGACGGGUAGCCGGCCUGAGAGGGUGACCGGCCACAUUGGGACUGCGAGACGGCCCAGACUCCUACGGGAGGCAGCAGUGGGGAAUAUUGCACAAUGGGCGGAAGCCUGAUGCAGCAACGCCGCGUGCGGGAUGACGGCCUUCUGGUUGUAAACCGCUUUCGCCUGUGACGAAGCGUGAGUGACGGUAAUGGGUAAAGAAGCACCGGCUAACUACGUG